UUCGUUCAAAAUAAUUAAAAUCACUGUUGAAAAAUAAAAAUCGCCAUGGAACUAAUCAACGGAGAGCCAGAACCGCCACGGCCACCGCCACCGCAACAACCAGUACAACCACUGGGUAUUGAACAACCUCCACCGCAGCAAGAAACAUACAGCCGCUUAGUUUUAAUGAUCAUACUCCCAUUUUUCAUUGUCUUGGUAGGAAUAGUUCCUUUUCUUUGCUCUUUAUUUCUCAUAUUUAUUAAAUUUUUUCUUUAAUUAUCUUCUUGUAUAAAUAAAUAUAAAGAAUUGGGAGAUGUAAUAACGUUUAUCAUAAUAAAUAGGAUAGGCAAAAAUGAAUUUAUAAAUAUGAAUUUAUUUUGUCUCGCUUUUUCAUAUCAGAAUCUUGAUCUAUGCAUGUAAAUAGUUACGAUGGAUUUAAAUUGUAGUUAGUCGCAAAACUUGUAUAUUUGGGAAAAAUUUAGUCAACACAGCUUAAAUUGAUCAUACAUGUCCGUUCUUAUAUUAUACAAUAUGAAAAAUGUGACGAUUAAUUAUUGUUUCAGGUGUAUGGUAUUAUCUAUGGUAUAGUGGAUUGUAUGCGACAGCAUCGACACUGAAUUAAACAAGUUGUGGCAGCAAACCCAUUAUCACCAGAAAUUCAUUGAGGCCAUUAAUGUUUCUAAACAAUUUUACCGUUUCUAGUUUGCACUAUAUGUAGCGUUAUUACUACAUGUGACUCAUUCUUGGUAGCGUUUUUACUAUCACUAUUUAGCGAUGUUAUAUGCACAUAGUAUAAUAUUGAUUAGUUAGUUUGUUAAGAUAACGAUGUAAUUUUGCUCAUAAA
rnacentral:lncRNA from 1 species